rnacentral:rRNA from 1 species
GUGAACGCUGGCGGUAGGCCUAACACAUGCCAGUCGAACGGCAGCACCGUAAGAGCUUGCUCUUACGGGUGGCGAGUGGCGGACGGGUGAGGAAUACAUCGGAAUCUACUUUUUCGUGGGGGAUAACGUAGGGAAACUUACGCUAAUACCGCAUACGACCUACGGGUGAAAGCAGGGGAUCUUCGGACCUUGCGCGAUUGAAUGAGCCGAUGUCGGAUUAGCUAGUUGGCGGGGUAAAGGCCCACCAAGGCGACGAUCCGUAGCUGGUCUGAGAGGAUGAUCAGCCACACUGGAACUGAGACACGGUCCAGACUCCUACGGGAGGCAGCAGUGGGGAAUAUUGGACAAUGGGCGCAAGCCUGAUCCAGCCAUACCGCGUGGGUGAAGAAGGCCUUCGGGUUGUAAAGCCCUUUUGUUGGGAAAGAAAAGCAGCAGGUUAAUACCCCGCUGUCCUGACGGUACCCAAAGAAUAAGCACCGGCUAACUUCGUG